rnacentral:sRNA from 1 species
UAACGUAUGAAGUCACUAUAAUAUGGUCAAGGAUGCAGCAGACUGGUUUAUCCAGACAUCCCGCUACCAACAUAAGUUGGUCAGGCCAAGUCCGGUAAAGGCGUUUCUGAAUACCAGAGUAGUUUUCUGGCGAGACCCACCUUAAGGUGGGUUUU